ACCUACGGGGGGCAGCAGUGAGGAAUAUUGGUCAAUGGUCGGGAGACUGAACCAGCCAAGCCGCGUGAGGGAGGAAGGUACAGAGUAUCGUAAACCUCUUUUGUCAGGGAACAAAGGCGGGGACGUGUCCCCGGAUGAGUGUACCUGAAGAAAAAGCAUCGGCUAACUCCGUGCCAGCAGCCGCGGUAAUACGUAGGGGGCAAGCGUUAUCCGGAUUUACUGGGUGUAAAGGGAGCGUAGACGGCUGAGCAAGUCAGAAGUGAAAGCCCGGGGCUCAACCCCGGGACUGCUUUUGAAACUGCGGG
rnacentral:rRNA from 1 species